CUUCCAAGUAUAGCUUUUUGCCAGCUGUCACCUUACCAUAUGAAUCAACCCUGAGUAAUUAAGUAAUGGAAGACUUAACAUAUUUUGUACACAAACAAUCCUAGUGGUGGAUAUGUUAACUUAAAGGUUUGACUCUAGUUGGAACCCCUCGGAUCAGGCCUUGUCCUAUUUUUAUAUAAUUUCCUAAAAUUUCAGCACAUCAGAUACAAUUAAGUGCAUAAUUUUAGUACUUGGAGAUAUAAACAUUUUUCUUUGUUUACAGAUGUGUGUAUAUGUGUGUGUGGGUGUGUGUGU
rnacentral:lncRNA from 1 species